GACGCUUGUUCAGAUGCUUGAGGAGUGAGAUGAGGCUUGUUGAGAUGCUUGAGGAGUGACAUGAGGCUUGUUGAGAUGCUUGAGAUGAGGCUUGUUGAGAUGCUUGAGGAGUGAGAUGACGCUUGUUCAGAUGCUUGAGGAGUGAGAUGAGGCUUGUUCAGAUGCUUGAGGAGUGAGAUGAGGCUUGCUGAGAUGCUUGAGGAGUGAGAUGAGGCUUGUUGAGAUGCUUGAGGAAUGACAUGAGGCUUGUUGUGAUCAUUUGUAUUCCUUGUUGUAUUUUGUGAUGAGACAUUCUCUUGUUGUGUUGCAUCCUUGUGAUUAUGAGCUCAUGUGGAGUAUGAUCAUUUGAACUCCUCGUGUGUAUAAA
rnacentral:lncRNA from 1 species